GCCUGUUUAUCAAAAACAUGGCUUUUUGUAAAUAAUAUAAGGUUUGACCUGCUCUAUGAUUAAUUAAAUGGCUGCGGUAUCUUGACCGUGCAAAGGUAGCAUAAUCAUUAGUUUUUUAAUUGGAAGCUGGUAUGAAUGGUUGGACAAGAAAGUUUCUGUCUCUAUGUAAUUUUUUUAGAAUUUUAUUUUUUAGUGAGAAGGCUUAAAUAGGAGUGAGGGACGAGAAGACCCUAUAGAAUUUUAUAGUUUGAUUUUGAUGUGGUUUUUAGAUACAUUUACUUAAUUAGGAUACAAUUGUUUUGUUGGGGUGAUGGAAAAAUUUGUUUAACUUUUUUUUUUAUAAUAUGCAUUGAUUUAUGAUUAUUUGAUCCAUUUUUUAUGAUUAUAAGAUUAAAUUACCUUAGGGAUAACAGCGUAAUUGGUUUGGAGAGUUCAUAUCGAUAAACUAGUUUGCGACCUCGAUGUUGGAUUAAAAUUAAUUUUUGGUGUAGGGGCUAGGAAAUUAAGUCUGUUCGACUUUUAAAAUUUUACAUGAUCUGAGUUCAGACCGG
rnacentral:rRNA from 1 species